GAGCUGCAAGCGCUGGGCUUUGUGUCUGGGAGGAGAGGCGAGCUCCGCUCCCGGCUGCUUUACUGCUGCAUCCUGCCUGAGAGGGUUUUCAUCGGGAGGAGCUGGCAAUGCUCUCCUGCGCCUUUCAUGCAUACUGCUGAAUCUGAGAGGAAAGCCAGACUUUUAAUUAACGGGUGUGGAUGUGGCUCAGUGGAUUAUGCUUCCGUAGGAGCACAAAGAGAAAAUCCUUCAGCAAGAGGUGGCUGCUCAUUGUGCGUGUUUUUGCUUUAAUGCAAUAUUGACAGCUUUGUCAUCUACAAAUCUUUACCUUUUAAGUAACUGGGAGUAAGGGGGGGAAAUAAUAAAUGGCUGAUAUAUUAGUGCCAGUGCUUGUAAAAUGUUCUUUUGUGAGUUUUGUUGUUGGGUUUUUUGUGUCUUUUAUUUUUAAACAGCCAUCAGCUGUACUUUAAAUUGCUGCUGAAAUGAAUGGAAGCUAAUAGGAGGUAUUCCUGAAGUUUGUUUUGUAAUCAUAUCAGACUGGAUCUUACUAAUAAAAGUGACUACUGUGAGGAGAAA